UACGGAGAGUGCAGACGCUGUUCGGAUUCACUGGGCGUAAAGGGCACGUAGGCGGCUCGGCAAAUCGGUCGUGGAAUCCCGACGCUUACCGUCGGAACGGCGGCCGAAAAUACCGGGCUCGAGGGCGUGAGGGGUCACUGGAACUCCUGGUGAAGCGGUGAAAUGCGUAGAUAUCAGGAGGAACGCCGGAGGCGAAAGCGAGUGACUGGCGCGUUCCUGACGCUGAGGUGCGAAAGCUAGGGGAGCAAACAGG
rnacentral:rRNA from 1 species